UAAGGUAAAAUAAAGAACAUUUCGUGGAUGCCUUGGUAUUGGGAGAUAAUAAAGGACGUUAUAAUAAAAACGAAAUAUUAUGGAGAUUUUAUAAUAAAAAAGAACCAUAAUUAUCCAAUGGGAAAACCCAUAAUAAAUAAAAUAAAUUAUGAUAAAAUCAUAUAUCAUAAUAAAAAACUUAGUGAACUGAAACAUCUAAGUAGCUAAAGGAAUAAAAAUCAACCGAGAUUCUGUAAGUAGUGGCGAACGAACAUGGAAUUAGGGCAUUUUAGUAAUCAAUUAAUUAGAAAAGAUUGGAAAAUCUUGCCAUAGAAGGUGAAAGCCCUGUAUAAAAAAAAGUAAUUACUAAAAACUAAGUAAAACGGGACACGUGAAAUCUUGUUUGAAAAUAGGUGGACCACCAUCUAAGCCUAAAUACUCCUCAAUAACCAAUAGUGCACAAGUACCGUGAGGGAAAGGUGAAAAGAACCAAAUAGGAGUGAAAUAGAACCUGAAACGGAAUGUUUAUAAGCAGUCAUAGCAAUUAUAUAUUGUGAUGGCGUACCUUUUGCAUAAUGGGUCAGCGAGUUUAUUAAUAUAGCAAGCUUAAGUCAUUAGAUGUAGGCAUAGUAAAAACAAGUUAGAAUAUAACUAUUAGUUAUAUUAAUAAGACCCGAAAUCGAGUGAUCUAGCCAUGAACAGGUUGAAGAUGUGAUAAAACACAUUGGAGGACCGAACUCAUAUAUGUUGCAAAAUAUUGAGAUGAUUUGUGGUUAGGGGUGAAAGGCUAAUCAAACUCGAAGAUAGCUGGUUUUCCGCGAAAUCUAUUUAGGUAGAGCAUUAUAUAAUAAUUAUUCAGGGUAGAGCACUCGAUGAGCUAGGGGAACACAUAGUUUUACCAAACUCAACGAAACUCAUAAUAUGAAUAAACAUUAAAUAUAGUAGACAGACAGUGAGCGCGAAGGUUCAUAGUCAAAAGGGAAACAGCCCUGAUCGUAAGUUAAGGUCUCUAAAUAAUAACUUAGUGUGAAAAGGAUGUUGUAAAGUUAAGACAACCAUAAGGUGGGCCUGGAAGCAGCCAUCCUUUAAAGAAAGCGUAAUAGCUCAUUGGUCGAAAGCUAUACAGCACCGAAAAUGUACAGAGUCUUAAGUUAUUUACCGAAACUACGAAAAUAUUAAUUUAUAUUUGGUAGCGGAACGUUCUGUAUGUCGAUGAAGAAGAGUUGUAAAACUUUUUGGAGAUAUCAGAAGUGAGAAUGCUGACAUGAGUAGCAAUAAACAAUCAAACAUUGUCGCUGAAAGUUCAAGGUUUUCUUAUGCAUUGAUAAACAGCUAAGUAGUUAGUCGGUCUCUAAAAUGAGGACGAAAGUCAUAGUUGAUGAGAAUUAUAGAUUAAUAUUUCAUAACCUGUUGUUAAAUUACAAAUUGUUUAAGUUAAAUAAACUUAUUGAAUUGUUUAUUUAAAUAAAACAAUUUCAGGAAAAAAUUACAACAAUAAAAAGACCGUACCAAAACUGACACAGGUGAACAAGUAGAGUAUACUAAAGCGUUUGAGAUAAAAAUGUUGAAGGAACUCGGCAAAAUGACUCCGUAACUUCGGAAGAAGGAGUACCAUAUUGGUGGCACAGAGCAGGGGGUAGCGACUGUUUACUAAAAACACAGGACUCUGCGAAAUCGUAAGAUGAUGUAUAGGGUCUGACGCCUGCCCGGUGCUGGAAGAUUAAGAGGAGAGGUUUUGGCUUCGAAUUUAAGUCCCAGUAAACGGCGGCCGUAACCAUAACGGUCCUAAGGUAGCGAAAUUCCUUGUCGGGUAAGUUCCGACCUGCACGAAUGGCGUAACGACUUCCCCACUGUCUCCAACAUUUACUCAGCGAAAUUGAAUUCUCCGUGAAGAUGCGGAGUUCCAGCGGCUAGACGGAAAGACCCCGUGCACCUUUACUAUAUUUAUAUAGUGCUAAUAAAAGUUUAAUGUGUAGUAUAGGUGGUUUGCUUAUUAAAUCUUGACACAAGUCAAUUGUGAAGGCAACAUUGAAAUCCCACUCUUUAAAUCUUUUAUAGCUUAGACAAUUAUUCAUUAUCUGAAUGUUGAACUCUGUAUAAUUGAUAGUUUGACUGGGGCGGUCAUCUCCCAAAGAGUAACGGAGAUGUGCAAAGGUAAGCUCAAAUUGGUCGGAAACCAAUUGUAGAGUAUAAUGGCAUUAAGCUUGCCUGACUGUGAGACUAACAAGUCUAACAGAGACGAAAGUCGGUCAUAGUGAUCCGGUGGUUCUGCGUGGAAAGACCAUCGCUCUACGGAUAAAAGGUACGCCGGGGAUAACAGGCUAAUGACUCCCAAGAGUCCAUAUCGACGGAGUCGUUUGGCACCUCGAUGUCGGCUCAUCACAUCCUGGAGCUGAAGAAGGUUCCAAGGGUUCGGCUGUUCGCCGAUUAAAGUGGUACGUGAGCUGGGUUUAGAACGUCGUGAGACAGUUCGGUCCCUAUCUACCGUUGGUGUUGGAGAAUUGAGAGUUGCUAACUUUAGUACGAGAGGACUUAGUUGGAUAUAGCUCUUGUGUACAAGUUGUUAUGUCAAUAGCAUUGCUUGGUAGCUACCUAUAGACAGAAUAACUACUGAAUGCAUAUUAAGUAGGAAUUUUAACUCAAAACAAGUUCUCCUUUUGGAGUUGUUAUAGAUUAUAACGAUAUAGAUUAUAUGUUUAAUAAUGGUAACAUUAUUGCUAAAUAAUACUAAUUUUACUCCAAUAACCUUAUU
rnacentral:rRNA from 1 species